GUCGGCUGGUGUAGUUGGUCACUUCGCUGGUAGAUAAGUCCCGAUUUGAGCCUCGCCCACUCCACUUGGGUCGGUGACGAGUCGCGGGUUCGAAUCCCGCAGCUGACA
rnacentral:tRNA from 1 species